UCGCCACUGUGGUGGAUUCUUGCUUGAUAGUGCAGCACUAAGUGGGUGGUAAACUCCAUCUAAAACUAAAUAUAACCAUGAGACCGAUAGUAAACAAGUACCGUGAGGGAAAGUUGAAAAGAACUCUGAAUAGAGAGUUAAACAGUACGUGAAACUGCUUAGAGGUUAAGCCCGAUGAACCUGAAUAUCCGUUAUGGAAAAUUCAUCAUUAAAAUUGUAAUAUUUAAAUAAUAUUAUUAAGAAUAAUGUGCAUUUUUUCCAUAUAAGGACAUUGUAAUCUAUUAGCAUAUCCCAAAUUUAUCAUAAAAUAUAACUUAUAGUUUAUUCCAAUUAAAUUGCUUGCAUUUUAACACAGAAUAAAUGUUAUUAAUUUGAUAAAGUGCUGAUAGAUUUAUAUUAUUACAGAGCGUUAAUUUUUCGGAAUUAUAUAAUGGCAUAAUUAUCAUUGAUUUUUGUGUUUAUUAUAUGCUCUUGUAUGAUUAACAAUGCGAAAGAUUCAGGAUACCUUCGGGACCCGUCUUGAAACACGGACCAAGGAGUCUAACAUAUGUGCAAGUUAUUGGGAUGUAAACCUAAUAGCGUAAUUAACUUGACUAAUAAUGGGAUUAGUUUUUUAGCUAUUUAUAGCUAAUUAACACAAUCCCGGGGCGUUCUAUAUAGUUAUGUAUAAUGUAUAUUUAUAUUAUUUAUGCCUCUAACUGGAACGUACCUUGAGCAUAUAUGCUGUGACCCGAAAGAUGGUGAACUAUACUUGAUCAGGUUGAAGUCAGGGGAAACCCUGAUGGAAGACCGAAACAGUUCUGACGUGCAAAUCGAUUGUCAGAAUUGAGUAUAGGGGCGAAAGACCAAUCGAACCAUCUAGUAGCUGGUUCCUUCCGAAGUUUCCCUCAGGAUAGCUGGUGCAUUUUAAUAUUAUAUAAAAUAAUCUUAUCUGGUAAAGCGAAUGAUUAGAGGCCUUAGGUCGAAACGAUCUUACCUAUUCUCAACUUUAAAUGGGUAAGACCUUAACUUUCUUGAUAUGAAGUUCAGGUAUGAUAUAUGUGCCCAGUGGGCCACUUUGGUAAGCAGACUGGCGCUGUGGGAUGACCAAACGUAAUGUACCGUGCCCA
rnacentral:ncRNA from 1 species